UAAUACGUAGGUGGCGAGCGUUAUCCGGAAUUACUGGGCGUAAAGCGCACGCAGGCGGUUUCUUAAGUUUGACGUGAAAACUCCUGGCUUAACUGGGAGAGGUCGUUGAAGACUGGGGAACUUGAGGCAAUGAGAGGGAUGUAGAAUUCACGGUGUAGUGGUGGAAUGCGUAGAUAUCGUGAGGAAUACCAGUGGCGAAAGCGACAUCCUGGCAUUAGCCUGACGCUCAUGUGCGAAAGCGUGGGGAGCGAACGGGAUUAGAUACCCCGGUAGUCCACGCCGUAAACGAUGAACACUAGGUGUGGGUGGUGUGAAAACUAUCUGUGCCGAAGCCAACGCGUUAAGUGUUCCGCCUGGGGAGUACGGCCGCAAGGCUA
rnacentral:rRNA from 1 species